GUGGGGAAUCUUGCGCAAUGGGCGAAAGCCUGACGCAGCAACGCCGCGUGUGUGAUGAAGGUCUUCGGAUCGUAAAGCACUGUCGGGAGGGAAGAAAGAGCUCGGGGAUAACACCCUCGGGCCUUGACGGUACCUCCAAAGGAAGCACCGGCUAACUCUGUGCCAGCAGCCGCGGUAAUACAGAGGGUGCUAGCGUUGUUCGGAAUUAUUGGGCGUAAAGCGCGUGUAGGCGGCCAGUCAAGUCGGGUGUGAAAGCCCUCGGCUCAACCGAGGAAGUGCGCCCGAAACUAGCCGGCUUGAGUACCGGAGAGGAUGGCGGAAUUCCCGGUGUAGAGGUGAAAUUCGUAGAUAUCGGGAGGAACACCAGCGGCGAAGGCGGCCAUCUGGACGGAUACUGACGCUGAGACGCGAAAGCGUGGGGAGCAAACAGGAUUAGAAACCCUUGUAGUCC
rnacentral:rRNA from 1 species